rnacentral:rRNA from 1 species
GAUGAACGCUGGCGGCGUGCUUAACACAUGCAAGUCGAACGGAAAGGCUCCUGCUUGCAGGGGUACUCGAGUGGCGAACGGGUGAGUAACACGUGGGUGAUCUGCCCUGCACUUCGGGAUAAGCCUGGGAAACUGGGUCUAAUACCGGAUAGGACGAUGGUUUGGAUGCCAUUGUGGAAAGUUUUUUCGGUGUGGGAUGAGCUCGCGGCCUAUCAGCUUGUUGGUGGGGUAAUGGCCUACCAAGGCGUCGACGGGUAGCCGGCCUGAGAGGGUGUACGGCCACAUUGGGGCUGAGAUACGGCCCAGACUCCUACGGGAGGCAGCAGUGGGGAAUAUUGCACAAUGGGCGCAAGCCUGAUGCAGCGACGCCGCGUGGGGGAUGACGGCCUUCGGGUUGUAAACUCCUUUCGCUAGGGAUGAAGCGCAAGUGACGGUACCUGGAGAAGAAGCACCGGCUAACUACGUG